AAAAAAGAUCUUGAAAAUAUUGCAUGGAUUUACAGAAAAAAUCAUCACGGAAAGAAAACUUUAUCACGAACGCACUAAUGGUCAAUAUUUAAGAAACCUUAAAGAUGACAAAGAGACGGAGACAGAUCAUGCAGAAACAUUUGGAA